UUAAUUUUUUUUUUUUUUUUUUUUUUUAUAUUACAAUUCUAUAUACUAUAAUUUUUUUUUUGAAUUGUUCGCUUGGAGGUAUAUGCACACACAUAUAUACAUAUAAACCUACAAGUAGGUACAUACAUACACAUACACAUACACAUACACACAAGUACAUACAUAUAUACAUGCACAGAUAUACGUCUGGUAUAUCCUAAAAAACCUUAAUUUUUUAUCAUACCUGAGUAAGCAAAAAAAAAAAAAAAAAAAAAAAAAAAAAAANNNNNNNNNNNNNNNNNNNNNNNNNNNNNNNNNNNNNNNNNNNNNNNNNNNNNNNNNNNNNNNNNNNNNNNNNNNNNNNNNNNNNNNNNNNNNNNNNNNNAAAAAAAAAAAAAAAAAAAAAAAAAAAAAAAAAAAAAAAAAAAACGAUGAUAGGAGGUGAAGUUAUAAUUGAAUCUAACCCUUCAAAGAAGUACUGCAUAGCUAAAAAAGAACGGCUAUGUGAUAGCAUAAUAUGGGAAUUGCUACAAAACUAUUAUAAAGAAGCAGCAAUAGAUGCUUGGAAAGAGAAUGUGGUACCUUCAUUUGUUACUAGUAAUAGUAAACUAGCUAAAGACUAUGCAAGGGUGAUUAUAAAUUACGCGAAAGAUUGGUUUAAUAGUAAUGAAUGUAAUCGUGAUGUACCUAUAUAUAUAUUAGAAAUAGGAGCAGGACAUGGUAAGUUUACUUAUUUAAUUCUUAGGGCAUUAUCAAAAUACAAAAAAUAUUUUAAAAGUUUAAAUUUACCUAAAGUUCCUUUUAUAUAUGUAUUUACGGAUAUUGCGAAAAAUAACAUAACGUAUUGUAUGAAUAAUGAAAGAUUAAAAAGGUAUAUAAACAAGAAAGAUGAUACUGUUAGUAGUGUCGUUAGUAACAGCCAUUGUGGUGAUAAUAAUAAUAAUAGUAAUGUUGAUUAUGAAAACAAAAAGAAUGUCGGUAAUAACUACGAUUUGGAUAGUGACAAUCUAACAUCAUCAUCAUCAUCAUCAGUAUUAAGUGAUAGCUUAUCAUCAUUAAGUGAUAACUUAUCAUGCAACAAAACUGACUUGGAUAAAAAAAAAAAAAAAAAAAAAAAAAACAAAAAAAAAAUCAUAGUACCAGUAAUAAUGAACAUUACUCUAUGCUAGAUUUCGCCUAUUUUGAUGGUAAUGAUACUUCAGAUAAAAUUUAUUUGGAAAUAGCUAAAAAAUAUAUUCCCCAUGAUACACCUAUAGUGUUAAUUUGUAAUUAUGUGUUAGAUUCCUUAUUAACAGAUGCAUGGAUAAUUAACGGGAAAAAUGAUUUCAAGCGAGCAUUAUUAUCAGUUUAUUCACCAAAUAAAGAAGAAGAUCAUUGUAAUUCAUCUAUCAUGUUAAGAAUGACUGUAAAUUGGGAUUGGGAAAGUAUAAAUAUAGAUGAAGAAAUAAAAAAAGAAAAAUCUGAAAAAAAAUCAGAUUAUUUAAGAGAGUAUAAAGAUAUAUAUACAGUAUUAAAAUUGUAUUCAUGUUUUAAUGAAUAUUUAUCAUUUGUUUUACCUGUAGGUGCAUUCAUAUUAUUUAAAAGGAUAUUAAAAAUAAGUAAUAAUAAAUUACUUUGUUUAAUUGGAGAUAAAGGUUAUCAAUCUUAUGAAGAGUUUAGGGGGUACAGAGAUCCUCAUAUUGUUGUACAUGGUAGUCUUUCUUUUAUGGUAAAUCUAAAUGCAAUUUGUCUUUUUUUUUUGAUUCUAGGUGGUUAUUAUAUACAUACCCCUUACUCAGACACUUUUCAAAUAAUUACUUUGUUGAUGCAUAAAAAAAAUGAAAAUAAUAAUAAUUUACUACAUAAAACAAAACCAAACAACACAUUAUCAACUAGUGGACAAAGCGAAACUAACCAUUUCCACAUACUUGAUUAUUUUCAUAAAACAUUAACUUUAACUUCUACAACUAUGAAAGAUGUUACUAACGAGGAUAUGUCCAAAAAAAAUGAAAUAAAUUCUAAACUAGAGAAAAAAAAGGAUACCUGUUUUAAUGAAAAAAAUGGUGAUGAUGGUAAGACUGAUUAUCAUACUCAUACUCCUACUAUUAGCAAAAACGUUUAUAAAAAAAUGAAAAAAAUAAAUUUAAAAAAUUUAAAUAACAUGACUAUAAAAUUUGGAAGUACGAUAACUUCAUUUUUUGACAAUUUAGAACAAUUACCACCUGACUUGUUAAUAAGUUGGCAAAAAUCAGUCAUUUAUAAUAUAAAUAAUAAUUCAGCAAAUGUAAACAUAAAAGAGUUAAUAGCAUUAUUACGAUAUUCCAACUACGAUUCAGAUGUAUUUUAUAAUAUUAGAAACUCUUUUACUAAUUUGGCAUGCUUUCCUAACAUUAAUGGUAGAACUGAAAAGGACAUUUUAUUAGACAUAAAAGAGUGUUAUAAUAAUCAUUAUUCAUUAAAAAAUGAUGAAGAUAUAGCUGAUGUGUGUGGACAUAUAUGCAUGAAAUUUGGUGAAUUUGAAAAGUCAAUCUAUUAUUUAAAAGAAAGCUUAAGAAACUUUAAACAUACUAGACAUUCAUCUACAUAUAUUAACAUAGCAUCAUGUUAUAAAGUAUUAAGAAAAUAUGAUAAGUCACUUAAGUAUAUAAAAUCAGCAAUUAAACUAUCAAAUAAAGAAAAUAAAAAUAAAAAUGACAUGAUGCUAAUGAUGAACCCUAACACUUGCAAUGGAAAUGCCAACGGUAGCAGUAAUAAUAGUAUGUACUCCCAUGAUAUUUUGUAUAAUAUACAAUUUUGUCUUAACCCCAUUACAUAUGCUAUUGUUGGGAUAAAUUAUUAUAUUCAAAAUGAUGGACUAUAUUAUUUAUCUUUUGAAAGUAAAAUUAAAUUAAAAUAUAUUUUUUUACUCGCCAAGGAAGAGGGCAUAGUACUAAAAUUUUUACACAAAAAAUAUAAGCACUCGUUUUUUGAAAAAACUAAUAGACACAUGAAUCUUGCAGAAAUUAAAAUCGUAAAAGUAUAUGAUGAAAAUAAAGUGAUUAGCUUGGAUGAAUUGUGUGGGGACGAGCAAGAUGAUAAACGGGAGCUGGAAGAAAAACGGGAGCAUGAGCAGGAGAAUGACAUAAUGGAAGAUGGUACUGUUGCACGGGAUUCAGUACAAAAGCAUGGAAUACAACAAAGUGAAACACUCAAUAAGUCAUACAAAAAUAUAGACUAUUUAAAAAAAAACCUAACACAAUGUUUAAAACAAUACUCCUGUCAACUUUGUGUCAUUGACUUACCAUGGAGUAUCAAACCAGAAAUAGUAGAAUUAAUGCUUGAACAUUCAAAACAUAUAUUUACGUAUGGUAUUUUAUCCAAUUCGUUUAAACGAUCUUUUGAAGUUAUUUCUAAAUAUAAAAAAGUAUCUGAUCAAAUUAGUUGGGUUAAUAAUAAUUAUAUUCAUGAUGAAUGUUUAUAUGAAGCUAGAAAUGGCAUCAGCUUUAUUAAGAAUAUAAUUUCUUUAUCAGUUACACAUUACAGUUCAAAUGUUUAUAAUAAUAAAAAUAAUUGUAUUGAUGAUAAAGAUAUAUUAGUUGGAGAUUUGUGUAGCAUUUUAAAUAUGAUACAAAUUAUAAUGGGUUAUGCUAUUACAGGCUUAACAGCUAAUUUUUUAAAAAAAUAUAAUUCUAAAAGUGAUGAAUCUGUUGAUAGUAAGUUAUACGAUAAAAACGAAGAGAAACCAGAAGAGAAACCAGAAGAGAAACCAGAAGAGAAACCAGAAGAGAAAACAAGAGAACAUGGAGAGGACGAAAAAGAACAAGAAACUGAGGAAAAAGAGGAAAAAAAGGAAGAAGAGGAAAAGGGGGGAGAAAAGGAAGAAGAAGUCAAAACAUAUAGUAGUAGCUAUAAGAACAAAAAUAAGAGAAAAGCAGAAUAUGCCUCUAUGUCCGGAAUUGUUAUGUUUUCACAAAAUCAAAAAAUAGUACAAGGAGAACAAAAAAACGAUAAAAAUGAUGAGGAUAUAAUAUUCGAUGAGUCGGAAACAUUUGGAAACUACUUAUUAAUAAAUAACAGAAAUGAAGAAUUUAUUACAAAAAUUGUUAUUGUUGGUGUACUCGGUUCUUUAUGUUUAAAAAAAACAGUGUCUAAUUGGACUAUUAACAUUUAUAAUGUGAAUGGUGAUAAAAUUUUUGAUAAAUCAGGUAAAUUAGCAGCUAGCCAAAAUGCAAACGAUGUAUUUAUUAGUCAAUAUUUAAUAAAAACAAAUGGAAAAAAUAACAGUAUCAAACAUUAUAAUGAAUAUAAUUUAGAACAGUCUACUAACGAUACGAAUGAUGGUGUAAAUGAGUCUGUAGAUUCGGACGAUGACCUUUUGUAUUUUUCAUCAGAGUCUGACAUGGGGCAGUCAUCAAACGAUCAGCAGAAAAGUGAAAACAAUAAUAAGACUAGUGUUACAGCAGAACAAGUAGAAAUGACAAAGAAGGGUAAAGAGGUGGAUGCCUCAGAUGGAUACGACUCGAAUGUUGUAGAUAAUGGGCAUGUCGAUAAUAGCCAUGUUGAUAACACUACCAAUAAUGCAUACACAGAUAAACACCUACAAAUAUUACAAAAAUUACCUGGUAAAAGAUUUUAUUGUCUUAGUAAAGAUGUGUAUGAAAAUAUAAAUAUGGAUGUUAACUUUAUUGAUAUUACUGUAAAUAAUAAUUGUUUUUAUUCACGAAUUGUCGAAG
rnacentral:lncRNA from 1 species